UACAGAGGGGGCAAGCGUUAUUCGGAAUUAUUGGGCGUAAAGGGCGCGUAGGCGGCUUGGCAAGUGGAUGGUGAAAUCCCUCGGCUUAACCGAGGAACUGCCGUCCAAACUGCUUAGCUUGAGACCGGGAGAGGUGAGUGGAAUUCCCAGUGUAGCGGUGAAAUGCGUAGAUAUUGGGAGGAACACCAGUGGCGAAGGCGGCUCACUGGCUCAUUUCUGACGCUCAGGCGCGACAGCGUGGGGAUCAAACAGG
rnacentral:rRNA from 1 species